ACGUAGGGUGCGAGCGUUAAUCGGAAUUACUGGGCGUAAAGCGUGCGCAGGCGGUUUUGUAAGCCAGAUGUGAAAUCCCCGGGCUUAACCUGGGAAUGGCAUUUGGGACUGCAAGGCUGGAGUGUGGCAGAGGAGACUGGAAUUCCUGGUGUAGCAGUGAAAUGCGUAGAUAUCAGGAGGAAUACCGAUGGCGAAGGCAGGUCUCUGGGCUAACACUGACGCUCAUGCACGAAAGCGUGGGGAGCAAACAGGAUUAGAUACCCUGGUAGUCCACGCCCUAAACGAUGUCGACUGGUUGUUGGGGGUUUGACACUCUCAGUAACGAAGCUAACGCGUGAAGUCGACCGCCUGGGGAGUACGGCCGCAAGGUUA
rnacentral:rRNA from 1 species